rnacentral:rRNA from 1 species
UACGGAGGGGGCCAGCGUUGUUCGGAAUUAUUGGGCGUAAAGGGCGCGUAGGCGGUCACGCAAGUCAGUUGUGAAAUCCCCUGGCUUACCCAGGGAACUGCUUCUGAAACUGCGUGGCUUGAGUCCGGGAGAGGAGAGUGGAAUUCCCAGUGUAGCGGUGGAAUGCGUAGAUAUUGGGAGGAACACCUGUGGCGAAGGCGGCUCUCUGGACCGGUACUGACGCUGAGGCGCGAAAGCUAGGGGAGCAAACAGG